UGGGGAAUAUUGCACAAUGGAGGGAACUCUGAUGCAGCGACGCCGCGUGAACGAAGAAGGCUUUCGAGUCGUAAAGUUCUUUUAUAUGGGAAGAUAAUGACGGUAUCAUAGGAGGAAGCCCCGGCUAAAUACGUGCCAGCAGCCGCGGUAAUACGUAUGGGGCGAGCGUUGUCCGGAAUUAUUGGGCGUAAAGGGUACGUAGGCGGUCUAUUAAGUCAGGUGUGAAAGCGUGAGGCUUAACCUCAUUAAGCACUUGAAACUGAUAGACUUGAGUGAAGGAGAGGAAAGUGGAAUUCCUAGUGUAGCGGUGAAAUGCGUAGAUAUUAGGAGGAAUACCGGUGGCGAAGGCGACUUUCUGGACUUUUACUGACGCUCAAGUACGAAAGCGUGGGGAGCAAACAGG
rnacentral:rRNA from 1 species